CAUUUUUAUUAGAAAUCUCAGUGGAGGAAAGGAGGAAUUGAGAGCUAGUAAAUGUAUCAGUGGAUCUGAGAGAUGGGGUUUGCUAGUCUAGGGUUCAGUGAAGACCAGAUGGAGAAUUUGGGUUUUAGACAAAGAAGGAAUUUAGGGUUUCUGGAGUGCAGUUUGGGGUUAAUCAAUCUUGAGCAGGGAUAUAGAUGGGCAUUGCAGGUGAGACUUGUGAUGUUCAUUUGGUGGAAUUGUGUGAUGGAGAUUCACAAGGGAAGGAAUUGGUGUUGUGACAGAAUGGGUCAAGAAUGGAAAUGGAGGAAUCUCAUGGUGCAAUUGUGGUGAAGUUGAAGGUGACCUUUAACUACUCAAACGCGGUUUUCCAUUUCGAGCAUUUUAGCCCUUAACCCAAAAUGGAACUGGUAACUUUUUCCCAGUCUUUAUAAUGGGUAUCAUACUUCACUCUAAUCUUCAACAUCUCUUCAUUCUGUGUUUCUUUGGAAAUGGAGAUCAACCUAAAUAAUGAACCUGAACCAGAAUUUGAGAUCAUCAGCCCAGAAUGGGAAAGAGAAGAUGAUAGAAUUACACCUACAUUGCUGGGGAGGAGGCGUUCACGAAGACAGAGAGAUGAAAUUAACCAAAUGGAAGGAAAUACAUCAUCGGCUGAACCUAUGCAUGUUGAUCAUCAACAACACCCACAAACCCUCCAUCAACAGCACACAUCUCAGCAACUAUAGCUCUCUUCUUAUGUUAUCAAUGAGGCUGCUACUACUGAGUUGGCUCGUCAACUUUCCAAAGCGAAAGAGGAGUACCGGACUGAGCUUGCUGCUAAGAUCAAAGAAGGUGUGAAGGAGUUCAUUGAUAACAUAAGAAGAGAGCUAUAGUUGCUGCGAAGAAGUCGGGCUCGGGACCGAUUCCUUCGACCGAAUAAUCUGUACCUACUUAUAAUCUGGUAAUCUUCGUUCAGAUUCAUUUUGAACCUAAAUGUUACUGACAUUGUCUUAGGGAGUAAUAUAUGUAGGCUACUGUCAUUAUGUCUUUAUACCAUCAAUCCAACUUUAAGGGAGUGUUUUCUUACUUUCUUAUCUUUAGGUUAAGCUAUAUUACUUUGCUAACUCUGCACCUUGUUAUUUGGUUUAUGCAUGGGAGUUGAAUAAGUAAAUGCUGACAUAAUUGUGGAAAGUGAGGGCUUUUCUGGUAGUAUCAAGGGAAUGUAUUUUCGUGUCU